CCUACGGGUGACAGCAGUGGGGAAUAUUGCACAAUGGUGGAAACCCUGAUGCAGCGACGCCGCGUGAGUGAAGAAGUAAUUCGGUAUGUAAAGCCCUAUCAGCAGGGAAGCAAAUGACGGUACCUGAGUCAGAAGCAGCGGCUAACUACGUGCAAGCUGCCGCAGUAAUACGUAGGGAGCAAGCGUUAUCCGGAUUUACUGGGUGUAAAGGGAGCGUAGACGGCAGUGCAAGUCUGGAGGGAAAGGCGGGGGCUCAACCCCCGGACUGCUCUGGAAACUGGACGGCUGGAGUGCAGGAGAGGUAAGUGGAAUGCCUGGUGUAGCGGUGAAAUGCGUAGAUAUUAGGAGGAACACCAGUGGCGAAGGCGGCUUACUGGACUGUAACUGACGUUGAGGCUCGAAAGCGUGGGGAGCAAACAGGAUUAGAUACCCCAGUAGUC
rnacentral:rRNA from 1 species